GACGAACGCUGGCGGCGUGCUUAACACAUGCAAGUCGAACGGAAAGGCCCUGCUUUUGUGGGGUGCUCGAGUGGCGAACGGGUGAGUAACACGUGAGUAACCUGCCCUUGACUUUGGGAUAACUUCAGGAAACUGGGGCUAAUACCGGAUAGGAGCUCCUGCUGCAUGGUGGGGGUUGGAAAGUUUCGGCGGUUGGGGAUGGACUCGCGGCUUAUCAGCUUGUUGGUGGGGUAGUGGCUUACCAAGGCUUUGACGGGUAGCCGGCCUGAGAGGGUGACCGGCCACAUUGGGACUGAGAUACGGCCCAGACUCCUACGGGAGGCAGCAGUGGGGAAUAUUGCACAAUGGGCGGAAGCCUGAUGCAGCAACGCCGCGUGCGGGAUGACGGCCUUCGGGUUGUAAACCGCUUUCGCCUGUGACGAAGCGUGAGUGACGGUAAUGGGUAAAGAAGCACCGGCUAACUACGUGCCAGCAGCCGCGGUGAUACGUAGGGUGCGAGCGUUGUCCGGAUUUAUUGGGCGUAAAGGGCUCGUAGGUGGUUGAUCGCGUCGGAAGUGUAAUCUUGGGGCUUAACCCUGAGCGUGCUUUCGAUACGGGUUGACUUGAGGAAGGUAGGGGAGAAUGGAAUUCCUGGUGGAGCGGUGGAAUGCGCAGAUAUCAGGAGGAACACCAGUGGCGAAGGCGGUUCUCUGGGCCUUUCCUGACGCUGAGGAGCGAAAGCGUGGGGAGCGAACAGGCUUAGAUACCCUGGUAGUCCACGCUGUAAACGGUGGGUACUAGGUGUGGGGUCCAUUCCACGGGUUCCGUGCCGUAGCUAACGCUUUAAGUACCCCGCCUGGGGAGUACGGCCGCAAGGCUAAAACUCAAAGGAAUUGACGGGGCCCCGCACAAGCGGCGGAGCAUGCGGAUUAAUUCGAUGCAACGCGUAGAACCUUACCUGGGUUUGACAUGGAUCGGGAGUGCUCAGAGAUGGGUGUGCCUCUUUUGGGGUCGGUUCACAGGUGGUGCAUGCCUGUCGUCAGCUCAUGUCGUGAGAUGUUGGGUUAAGUCCCGCAACGAGCGCAACCCUUGUUCACUGUUGCCAGCACGUUAUGGUGGGGACUCAGUGGAGACCGCCGGGGUCAACUCGGAGGAAGGUGGGGAUGACGUCAAGUCAUCAUGCCCCUUAUGUCCAGGGCUUCACGCAUGCUACAAUGGCUGGUACAGAGAGUGGCGAGCCUGUGAGGGUGAGCGAAUCUCGGAAAGCCGGUCUCAGUUCGGAUUGGAGUCUGCAACUCGACCUCAUGAAGUCGGAGUCGCUAGUAAUCGCAGAUCAGCAACGCUGCGGUGAAUACGUUCCCGGGGGC
rnacentral:rRNA from 1 species